rnacentral:rRNA from 1 species
CCUACGGGAGGCAGCAGUGGGGAAUAUUGGACAAUGGGGGCAACCCUGAUCCAGCAAUGCCGCGUGAGUGAUGAAGGCCUUAGGGUUGUAAAGCUCUUUUACCAGGGAUGAUAAUGACAGUACCUGGAGAAUAAGCUCCGGCUAACUCCGUGCCAGCAGCCGCGGUAAUACGGAGGGAGCUAGCGUUGUUCGGAAUUACUGGGCGUAAAGCGCACGUAGGCGGUUACUCAAGUCAGAGGUGAAAGCCCGGGGCUCAACCCCGGAACUGCCUUUGAAACUAGGUAACUAGAAUCCUGGAGAGGUGAGUGGAAUUCCGAGUGUAGAGGUGAAAUUCGUAGAUAUUCGGAAGAACACCAGUGGCGAAGGCGGCUCACUGGACAGGUAUUGACGCUGAGGUGUGAAAGCGUGGGGAGCAAACAGGAUUAGAUACCCUGGUAGUCCACGCCGUAAACGAUGAUAACUAGCUGUCCGGGCACAUGGUGUUUGGGUGGCGCAGCUAACGCAUUAAGUUAUCCGCCUGGGGAGUACGGUCGCAAGAUUAAAACUCAAAGUAGUAGUAGCGNGAGAGUAGUCGACGAGACACGACGGAGGAG